rnacentral:rRNA from 1 species
GACGAACGCUGGCGGCGCGCUUAACACAUGCAAGUCGAACGGAAUGGCCUACUUUCCCUUGUGGAUUGCGGGUACUCGAGUGGCGAACGGGUGAGUAACACGUGAGUGAUCUGCCCCCAACUUGGGUAUAAGCCUGGGAAACUGGGUCUAAUUCCCGAUAGGACUGCAGGGUGGUGCCUGUGGUGGAAAACGAUUUUCUAGUGGUUGGGGAUGAGCUCGCGGCCUAUCAGCUUGUUGGUGGGGUAAUGGCCUACCAAGGCGGCGACGGGUAGCCGGCCUGAGAGGGUGGACGGCCACAUUGGGACUGAGAUACGGCCCAGACUCCUACGGGAGGCAGCAGUGGGGAAUAUUGCACAAUGGGCGGAAGCCUGAUGCAGCGACGCCGCGUGGGGGAUGACGGCCUUCGGGUUGUAAACUCCUUUCGACCGCGAGGAAGCCACCUGGUUGGAAGGGUGGUGACGGUAGUGGUAGAAGAAGCACCGGCUAACUACGUG